UACGUAGGGUCCAAGCGUUAUCCGGAAUCACUGGGCGUAAAGCGUGCGUAGGUGGCGCGUUAAGUGAGAUGUUAAAUCGUGUGGCUCAACCAUAUCGAUGUAUCUCAUACUGGCGUGCUAGAGGACAGCAGAGGCAAGUGGAAUUGGUAGUGUAGCAGUGAAAUGCGUAGAUAUUACCAGGAACACCAAUGGCGAAGGCAGCUUGCUGGGCUACUCCUGACACUGAGGUACGAAAGCGUGGGGAGCGAACAGG
rnacentral:rRNA from 1 species